rnacentral:rRNA from 1 species
UACGUAGGGACCAAGCGUUGUUCGGAUUUACUGGCGUAAGGGCGCGUAGGCGGCAAUUCAAGUCAUCUGUGAAAUCUCCGGGCUUAACUCGGAACGGUCAGAUGAUACUGCUUUGCUAGAGUACAGAAGGGGCAAUCGGAAUUCUUGGUGUAGCGGUGAAAUGCGUAGAUAUCAAGAGGAACACCUGAGGUGAAGACGGGUUGCUGGGCUGAUACUGACGCUGAGGCGCGAAAGCUAGGGUGCAAACGGG